rnacentral:tRNA from 1 species
CCGGCCUUAGCUCAGUUGGCAGUAGCAUUAGACUGUAAUGAACUAGCAAUCUAAGGGUCCCCAGUUCGACUCUGGGAGGCCGGA